rnacentral:snoRNA from 1 species
ACCCAAACACCACAAUGAUGAGAACAUUGUUUCAAGAACCGGUAUUAUUAGGAAGAGCCGGAAGAGGUAUGCCGAGGUUAUCCCAAAUUAAGGGAGGCCUUGUCGUCGAUGCUUAUAAUGGUUCUGCUGAAAUGGUGUUUUGG